rnacentral:piRNA from 1 species
UGUCAAUGAGAAAAGGAAAUUUUUCCUGU